rnacentral:snRNA from 1 species
AGAUAAAGAUGGACGACUU